AGUGAACGCUGGCGGCAGGCCUAACACAUGCAAGUCGAACGGCAGCACAAGAGAGCUUGCUCUCUGGGUGGCGAGUGGCGGACGGGUGAGGAAUGCAUCGGAAUCUGCCCAUUUGUGGGGGAUAACCUCGGGAAACCGGGACUAAUACCGCAUACGACCUACGGGUGAAAGCAGGGGAUCUUCGGACCUUGCGCAGAUGGAUGAGCCGAUGCCGGAUUAGCUAGUUGGAGGGGUAAAGGCCCACCAAGGCGACGAUCCGUAGCUGGUCUGAGAGGAUGAUCAGCCACACUGGGACUGAGAUACGGCCCAGACUCCUACGGGAGGCAGCAGUGGGGAAUAUUGGACAAUGGGCGCAAGCCUGAUCCAGCCAUGCCGCGUGUGUGAAGAAGGCCUUCGGGUUGUAAAGCACUUUUGUUGGGAAAGAAAAGCAGCCGGUUAAUACCCGGUUGUCAUGACGGUACCCAAAGAAUAAGCACCGGCUAACUUCGUG
rnacentral:rRNA from 1 species